ensembl:lncRNA
GUAGGAGCUCCCCCCUCCCACCUUUUUGACUCUGAAUCUCGGCAAACCAGUCGUCCUUCCAUCCCACAGGUACCACCUCGUGGAAGGUGGUUCCCCUCUUCCCUCAGCCGUCUGCACACCCCAGCCGGUCAACUUCCGGAAUCGGUUGAUUUCAGGAGCCCAGCUCCUUCAAUCCGCCUUUGCAGGUCUGUAGCUAAAACUCUUCAGGAGAAAGCUAUUCUCUGUGAAUUGCUGUUCGUGUGCCAUCAGCCGUUCGGUCACCAGGGGGGACCCCUUGGCUUCUUCUCUGAUUUCUCCUCAUCUCCCUGAGCAGAAGAAUGAAAGACACUGAAACAAGGAGAGAUCCAAAGGAAGCUCAACUCUUGCAGGCAUAAUUAGAACCUACAACCUAUGCUCCUGAUCUCUGUACCCCAUGGUUCAUCCAUAAGCUUGCGCUUGUGACCAUCUUCUGCUUUAGUCUCCAGGGUUCCACAGAAUCCAAAACCUGUCCUCAUUGUCUCCAGGGGAGUGAUCCUGAGCUGAUGGUCCAGCUGAGUCUCCCCACUUCUAAUUCCAAAACAUUUCCAUCACUCCUCAAAGAAACCCCACUCCCAGUCACUUUCCAUUCCCUCCUCUCCCAGCCCCUGGCAAC